rnacentral:rRNA from 1 species
GACGAACGCUGGCGGCGUGCCUAAUACAUGCAAGUUGAGCGCUGAAGGUUGGUACUUGUACCAACUGGAUGAGCAGCGAACGGGUGAGUAACGCGUGGGGAAUCUGCCUUUGAGCGGGGGACAAAAUUUGGAAACGAAUGCUAAUACCGCAUAAAAACUUUAAACACAAGUUUUAAGUUUGAAAGAUGCAAUUGCAUCACUCAAAGAUGAUCCCGCGUUGUAUUAGCUAGUUGGUGAGGUAAAGGCUCACCAAGGCGAUGAUACAUAGCCGACCUGAGAGGGUGGUCGGCCACAGUGGGACUGAGACACGGCCCAAACUCCUACGGGAGGCAGCAGUAGGGAAUCUUCGGCGAUGGACGAAAGUCUGACCGAGCAACGCCGCGUGAGUGAAGAAGGUUUUCGGAUCGUAAAACUCUGUUGGUAGAGAAGAACGUUGGUGAGAGUGGAAAGCUCAUCAAGUGACGGUAACUACCCAGAAAGGGACGGCUAACUACGUG